UAGGUAAAAGGUACUCCGGGGAUAACAGGCUGAUACCGCCCAAGAGUUCAUAUCGACGGCGGUGUUUGGCACCUCGAUGUCGGCUCAUCACAUCCUGGGGCUGAAGUAGGUCCCAAGGGUAUGGCUGUUCG
rnacentral:rRNA from 1 species